rnacentral:rRNA from 1 species
AGAGUUUGAUCAUGGCUCAGGACGAACGCUGGCGGCGCCGUUAACACAUGCAAGUCGAGCGAGAACCAAGCCUUCGGGGCUGGGGAAAGCGGCGAACGGGUGAGUAACACGUGAGUAUCCCACCCUUGGUUCCGGGAUAGCCCGGGGAAAACCGGAUUAAUGCCGGAUGGCAAAAGCCCCUCGGGGCGGUUGGAAAAGGUAGCUUCGGCCUCCGACCAAGGACGAGCUCGCGGCGGAUUAGCUUGUUGGUGGGGUAACGGCCUACCAAGGCGACUGAUCCGUAGCUGGUCUGAGAGGACGAUCAGCCACACUGGGACUGAGACACGGCCCAGACUCUCUACGGGAGGCUAGCAGUGGGGAAUCUUGCGCAAUGGGCGAAAGCCUGACGCAGCGACGCCGCGUGGGGGAAGAAGGCUUUCGGGUUGUAAACCCCUUUCAGGAGAGACGAAGC